UAGCAACCAGAACUAAAAUAAGGCCUUGGAGUAGACUUCACCAUUUGUUCAAACAAACAUCAUGCUGGUCUUCUGGACUGCGCAGAUCUCACAGAGGAAAGGAUGAAGGCAAAGCUGCUCUGAGGAGGCUGCCCCUGGGAGAGGAAGCAGGCUCACUCCUUGGCCUCCCCUGAGCACCAACGGCUCCCAGGCGCUUCAUAGCCAACGUCUAGUUUAAUGCUUCCUCCAAGGUAAGUGUCAUCACCUCACAUCACUACAGGGACGCUCAGGCUCAAGAGCUUAGGAACCUGUGUGCCUCCACAGCUAGCAAGCAGUGGAGCUGCCCUUUAAUCGAGGCCCGCCUGGCUCUAAAGACCAAGAUGGUUUCCACUCGACCAUGACAGUUUGUAACACCUUGAUUUAAUAAUUUUAAAAAAGAGGGCUGGGGUUGUGGCUCAGUGGCAGAGGGCUUGCCUAGCACGUGUGAGGCACUGUGUUUGAUCCUUAGCACCACAUAACAAUAAAUAAAUAAAAGAAAGGUAUUGUCCAUCUGCAAUUACCAAAAAUAAAUAAAUAAUGAAUAAUUGCUUGCUUGCUUGAUUGAUUCAGGAAAAUGCAUGAUAAUGUCCUUUGUUGAAACUGGGCUCUUAGUAAUUUAAAUACUUAGAAAAAUCUGAUUCAGGAAAUGGAUAACAUCUUAUUCUAGAAUAUAUGUUAUAAAAAGCUGAAAGAUGGCUCACUCCUUUGUUUAUUUGUUUCAUUCAGCAAAUAUUUGCUAUGUCCUGACCAUGCCAUUCUAGGUACUGGAUACGUCAUGUUGCACAAACACAGACAAGGUGGCUGUCUUCAUGGAACUGACAUUGUAUUAAGAAGACAAAAAGGGGGUUGGCAUUGUGGCUCAGUGGUAAAGCUCUUACCUACCAUGUGUGAGGCACUGGGUUCGAUUCUCAGCACCGCAUAUAAAUAAAUAAAUAAAUAAAUAAAUGUUCAUCAACAACUAAAAAAUAGUUAAAAAAGAAGAAAAAAAGUAUAAACAAGAUGAGUUCAACUUAUUAAUAAGGUGAUUAUUGUAUGUUAAAGUUCUGGAAGAAAUACAAACUCGGAGAAGUGAUGUGGUGUGAUUGGAAGUCUACAUAAUUUAGCGUAAUCAGAAACAAUCUCCAUGAGAAGGCGAAAUUUAAGCUGAGACUAGAAGGUUGAGAAGAAUCUGGUCAUGUAAUUAUCUAUGGGAAAUGUUUCUGAAGCUGCAGGAAUAGCAGGUGCCAAGGCCCUGUGGUAGGAACAAGCUUAGCUAUUUGAGGGAUAAAAAGGAGGUCAAUAUGUCUGGGGCAGAUUAAAGAAAUGGGGAGCAGCAGAAAAUGAUGUGAAAGGAGGUGGGAUCAUACGGGGCCAUGACAUGGAGUUUAGACAGCAAAGUCAUUGGGAAAAUGUAAGCAAGAAGUGACAUCCAUCCUUGAGCGGACUGGAACCUUAAAGACACUUGAGCCCAAGCACCUCAUAUUGGUUCCUUUGAAGAGACCUAUCCAGAGACCCAACAGGGUCAGUUAGUGCUGAAGCCAUGUGCAAAACCCUGGAAUCCCAACUCUUCAGAAUGUUAAAGCUGAGACACCUGGAUGGCAGUGCAACCAGGCCACCUCUGUGUCUUUCUCCCGAUCAAUUCCAACAGCCUUCCUUUGUCCGACUCUCACCCUUACCUUCCUAUGGUUUUGUUGUCUACACAGUGAGCAGAACGGUCAUAUUAAGCCUGAAUUUGGAUCACAUUGCUGCUCUGAUUACCGCCCCCCACCCACAUCCCAUACUUUUUUUUUAAAUAUUUUAUUUACAUUUUAGUUAUCGGCAGAGACAAUAUCUUUGUAUGUGGUGCUGAGGAUCGAACCUGGGCCUCACCCAUACCAGGGGAGCGCGCUACCGCGCUACCGCUUGAGCCACAUCCCCAGCCCCACAUCCCAUACUUUUGCUGGAGUCUCCCCUCCAGACCUGAGGGCAGGCCCUUAUGUUAGGGGUCUUGAUUCUCUGUGCAUUGAAUCCUGGAUUUUGCAUGUAAAAAUAACUGCUGAACAAAUAAUAUUGUUAUGACCUUGACCUUGGACCAUCUGAACCUCUUUCCCUGUCUGAGAGAUGAGGAUAAUCCUAUCCCAUUUGACGGUAGCUUUGAGAUUAAAUGAGAUCAUACCUAUGAGUUUCUGGUGCAGUACCCAGCACCUAAUCCAAAAGCAACUGAUCUUCUUCCUUUCUCUCUUGCCCGCUCUGACCUGUGAGCGUGCUAAGCUCAGGAUCUUGUUAACUGUGCUCAAAUCUGCCCACACUGCUGACACCCAGCGCAGCCUGGUGAACAAACAGCAAACGUGCACACGCUCAAGGCCACCUUUGCAAUGUGUCAUAACUGCCCCUUCAGCUUCAUUCUCUCUGCCAGAACCCUCUCUAGAGCACAAUCAUCUCUCACAGCAGCCAUGCCAGCCACCACCUACUGGUAUCCCCAUUCGGGGAGGCUUGUCCCUGCCAGCUGUACUGAACAUAGUACAAGAUUUGUCUUCAUAAAGCACAGCUCAGGCCAUGCCUCUGCCUUACUCAGGAGGCUUUGUGCCCUCUGCGUCUGACCCAACUACCCCCGCUUCCCAGAUGGACAUCUGAGGUUCGCCACAAUCCACCCCUGGCUGACCUGGCCAUGCAUCUCUCUGUCCCCCUCUAACCCUCUGCCUGGCACUCCCAGACCACAGUUCCUGGGGCUUUACAUCUGUGCUCUUGCUCAUGCUAUUCCCCCUGCUCUGGUGGCCUCCCUACAGCAUGGCACACCGCAUAUUCCAAGGUCCCUCCUGCCCCUGGAUUCCCACAGCACUGAACAGUGGUGCUCCCUGCACACUUGCUGCUUUGGGCCUUGUGUUUGCUGUGUGCAUGAGCCAGGUGGACACGCAGUGAACCCAUGGUAAGGAAUGCAUGUCCACCUCUCUACUCCCCUGCAUUUCCUCCCCCUCUUCUCUCUCACACUCGCACAUGUUUUCUUGAACACAGCAGGAGUAUAAUACAUAUUUCACAGGUGAGUCACUCAGUCUUACCUGCUCUUUUUUUGUAAAGGUGUCUUGAAUCGGUCUCCUGCUCCCUAAUGAUCUUGUCCUUGGUCUGUGACAACAGCCGCCUACAGGGUCCUUCUUCCUGUCUAAACCCCACAACAGAGCAAUGUUGGUCAAAUGAAAAUCUGAUCAUGCCUUCCCUCUGCUGAAAAUAUUUCAGGAGUUCCCCAUUGCCAUAAGACAAAACCUCAACUGCCUUCCUCUUCAGCCUAAUCUUCCUCUCAACCAUCAGUCCCCCGAAACCUCCUCCCGCUCCUCCCAAGCUAUUCAUAAUGCCAGGCGACCUGUGCUGUUUCUGACCUCUGGGUCUUGUCCCAUACUCUUUCCUCCUUUCCAAAUGAUACCCCACUUCCCUUCUACCCUGUCAUCUGAUACGCAGCUGCACAAGCCUCAAACCCAGUUCUGAGGACAGCUGCCUCUGUAAAGGAAGUGAAGCCAGACCACAGGACCCCCACCCCCUGCACUUCUCCUCACAAAUGAGCAUCCCCGCACUCCCUGUCACUAGGCAGCACAAUAUGGCCAGAUUCCUGUGAUUGCACAUCACCCUGUGUGGACAUGAACUGUGCUCCCUCCUGCCUCGUUUCCUGGCCCAGGAGCCCAGAGGUCAACCUGCUUCUGGUUCUCCUGAGUCCACACGCAGUGCUCACACUGGGAGACCCUUCAGUGAACCUUAGUGCAUGCAGGGCACAGGAAGGGAGGAGGUCCAGUGGAGACAAGCACAGCCAUCUGUGAAGAUCUGUGAAGAUCAGGCUGAUGGUCUCUUGCAUCUUAUUUUAGAGUCCAGGAUCCUAAUGACCAAUGACAAAAUGAUACUCCUGAGGCUCCUGCUCAGGCUCCCACCAACUGGUUCUCGGUGGCAAAGUCCUCUGGAAAUUCCCUGCAGCCCCCCAAAUGCCAGGACAACAGACAGGUUAUACAGGCUGCUAGGAAGCCAGCACAGCUCCAAAAGCAGAUCUGUUACCCCUAGGGUAGCAGGAAAUAAGUUCUGGCCCCAGUGUCAGUGUCAUGUUGAAACCCUCAAUACACCCAUUCUUCUCUAAGGAAGCUUUGAGGACAUCACCUUUGUGCUUGGAACUAGGGACAAAGAAAUAAACUAAAGCCAUUCCUGCCCUGGAGGAGACCUGCCUGGGGAAGCAGGUCAGUGAGCUCAGACACUUCCCCGAAGGAGCAAUGCUCCCAAUUUACUUCUUUUAACUUUCUAAAAUGUAUGGAGAUUUUUCCAUAGAUGAGAUGGCUUUAACAGCUUUUUAAGAUUUGAAUUUGCUUUUUGUUGAUAGGUCUACUUUUGUCUUGGUAACAGUAUUUCACAGUGCAUUCCUGGUGUCUCAGGUGUCUCAACUUUGUCCUUGGUUCUGAGCUGCCUGAGGCAGACAGAGGGACCCUCUGUUGGGAGGAUGACCGAGAGGGGGUCAGUACCAGCAGACAAUGGGGACGCCAGGGCCCAGGGAGGAGAAGACUGAGGGUCAGCGAGGCAGGGGUCAGAAAACAGAAAAGCAAGAAAAAGAAUAUGGAGGAGCAGAAAAAGAAUAUAUCCAGAAAAAUUCCAAUAUUCCAGAAUAUAUUCUUCUAAUGUAUAUAUAUAUAUAUAUAUAUAUAUAUAUAUAUAUAUUUUUUUUUUUUUUUUGCAAUUGGCAGAAGGGGAUUUAUUGAACCAGCAUGCUGGGGCUCCGUGCCCACUCAAGAAGGGAAAGCAGCCCAGAGCCCCGAGCAGGGGCUGAGCACUGCUUAAGUACACUUUUUGGGGAGGGCGGAGGGCUUUGUAUACAUCAGAACAAAUCAUCAUUAGGCACGGGAAAAUUGAACAACAACUCCUAAACCUGAUUAGUUCAUUCAUUGGCGGGAACAGGUCAGGCUGGAGUGAUAGGUCAUUCCUAAGGAGAGUACACAUUCAAACUGAUUGGUUCAGGCCCUGCAAGGCCUGCGUGCAACCACACAGACCCCUUCAGUUAUUAAACAACCAGACAAUGAGGGGAAAUGUUUACUGGGUGGUUCUAAGCAUUGUCUUAACAGCUACCGAAAUUUCAGGUUUUGCAGGUAACAUAGAAACCUAACAAUACCUCCUUUACAUUUUAACUCAGACCUUGCAGCUUAGAAACUUUUACAACACCCGGUCUUUUACCCUUUAACUUUUAUGCUUUAACUUCAAUUUCUUUUACCCUUACAUUCCCCACUCCUUUUUCUGACUACUUUUAAUCUUAAAAGUAAUGCAUCACGAUUAUUGAAGGGUUUUAUAUUUUAUGAGUUGUUUUACGUUCCCUGGAAUCAUUGCCAGCAUGGCCUCCAUUUUAGAUUUUACUCGGCAUUAGACCCGAUUUAUCUAACUACACUGACUACCUAACUUUAAAUCUGGCUUCAUUCCCCCCUCUAAUUUGGGAACUCCUCACUGCUGUAAGGAAGGGGGGGCGAAGAGAAUCUUUCUGGCUUCUUCAGGCUGAAAAGGGACGGUGUGGGGCAAGCAGUUUGGAGUCCCCCUUUAAUAAUCGGGUCUAUCGAGUGGUCCAUGAUAAAAGUCCAAUUGAGAAGUAUUAGGCUGGAGGGCCAUUCGAGGGAUAGGUGGUCUAUAAGAGAAACAAGAAUUCAUUAAUUUACUGGAACCAUAUUGAUGCAGCAAUAAAUGUCACAGCACAGGAAUAUGCCAAUGAGUAUAAUGGCCAAGACAGAGACUAACAAUGUUUUCCACCAGGAAGUACCAAGAACCAGAAGCUAAGAUAUUGUUUCCACGACAAAGUUGCUGAGGACAUGGCUUCUAUCUAAGCAUGUAAAUCUUUAAGGAUAUUUGUCACCUUGCCAGAAAUGUCAGGGAUGUAAACACAACAACUAACAUUUAGGUUUACAGAUGACCUUUUUACUAGUAUGACCUAUGUCUAAUAGAAUUCAGAAUUCCAGUUUUCCCAGUUCCUUCCAGACCUCAGCCAGGACUUAAGCUGAUAUGCAAAUAGAAGAAGCUUGGGGCACUCAGCAGGAGACAGAUUUCAGGCCCAAGGGGAAAAAAAAAAGAGUUAAAGUGUCUUUUUACCUGAACUCAAACUAGACCCCAACCAAAAAGUAAAUUAUAUGGUAUUUAUUAAUUACUGGCCAGUCAUCUUUUUUUUUAGGACUCUUGCUUUUUCUUAGAUUCUGUAUUUUUUUUGAGCUCAUGAUUUUGGUCCUACAGACCUAGGUUAAUGUUUUUUUCUGAUCAACUGUGGAAUUUUGAAACAUUGCAAUGGAGAUUUCACCUGAAAAAGCUACUAGGGUGUUACACUUGUGUUAUGUGUUGUAUGUCGGUAUGUCUGUAUGUGUAUAUGUCCAUAUAUCCUGCAGUGAUAUGACAAUUGACAGAUAAGGAGCGCUCAUAAAAAAAAAUUUAAAAAUGGAUCCAAAUAUCUUUGAUUCACGUGAUUUAAAUGGUUCAAUUUAAAUUGGGUAAAUAGAUAAAAUGAUGGUGUCUAUAAAAUAAUCUGCUUAAAUUCAGAAAUUUACAGAUAUUGUUUUAAAGUGUGAACAAAAGGAGGUUAACAGAUGGAAAAGAAAAACUAGAAAGUUUUAGGUAUGGAUUUAAUAGAGGGAAAAUGUGUUUCUGGAUAAGAGAGUCUGUGUGAUUAAGUAAUUAAGAGGGUUUAAAUAAGUGAUAAAAAGGUCUGUGUAAGUUGGUUAUAUGUGUAAGUUUUUGAGCAAGUAAUCUUAAAGAAAUUAAAAAUUAUACAACUAUGGUUAAACAACAACUGUUAUUUUUCAGUACUUUUCUUGUGCUCUCUUACUCUGCAUAAUGUUCUUCCAAAACCAAUUGCAGAAAGUUUCUAAUUAGACUUUCAACCAGCUUCUGCUUAGGCACUACCGGCCUCUGACGACUGAUGAACCCCUAGCAUCUUCAAGAGAGCAGUUCACUCAGUGCUGAAGCUCACUACCAAGCACGAUGGAAUGCAACGGACAUCAGACAGUGGGAGACAACAAGUUCGGAGAAUCUCAUAAUCUGCCAUCCUGGAUUCAUGAGUCUUUAUGUCCUUCUGAGCUUCCUCAUGGCCCUUGGUCUCUUUUCUGUCAGUCCCCCAGCAUGGAACUUCUGCCAAAAAUUGACCUUUGCUUUAAUCUUUAUCUUCAUUCUGUUUUUAUUCGCUCUGAUUUUCUUCAAGUGCUGGUAACACCAACUUGGCGCCUAUCUGGAAGAACUUACUAAUAAACGGGUUGCCUGCCACUUAUCUAAGCCCUACCAUCUCCCCCUUAGUUCUAUAUAAGCACACAGCUUUUUGCAAGGUUAAUUAUGGUGCUGUUAAUGUGUUCAUAUCUUCCAGGUAUACAAGUCUGUAAGGUAGAAGCUUCAAAAGAACAUUGUAUCAAGCUGGUGUUCUAAAGUUGUAUGGUAAUUUUAGACUUACAAGAAAAAAACAUGUUGGAGAUUUGUUCAUAUCAUUUGUGUUCUACAACUGGACUUGUUAUCAAUAAGAUAUGUACAGUUCCAUGUUACUUUUCACACUGAGAUACAAUUUAAAUGUAUUUUUAAGUUAAUGAGAGCCUAAUCUGUGUGAAGGUCUUAUUGCAAAACACAAAAGUACAUUACUACUUUUCUACAAGAGGUUAAAAGCUUUCAGCCUUUAAUUCAUGUUUUAAAUGUGAUAUUAUGUUGUGUUAGCUAAUGUUCAUGUAAACUUGAACAACAAUUUAUGUAAACUUUGUAAAAUGAUCAGCUUCAGAACUAUAGUACUUGAGAUUUAUAAAGAGCCCUGCCUUACUUGAGAUAAGGCUCUGUCCCAUCUCACUACAUGUGAAAGUGGCUAUAAAAGAAGUAAGCCAGAUUUCAGUACAGUUAAAGUUACGUCCAAAAGUAGGUUUUUGCCAAGAUUACUAGGAUCUCAAAUAGGGAAUUAUGAUGUAUAACUCUGCCAGAAUUCAAGGUAGCCAUUAUGUAAGCUAAAUAUGUUUUUACCCUAGUUAGUUUUGUUUUGUAGUUUGCUUAUAGAUGGUUUAAGGAUUGCCUGUUAAUGUUUUAAAAAGGUAUUGCUUUAAGAACACAACCUGGGUCAACAUAAGAUAAGGAGUUAUCACCUACAGGAUAGAGAGAUAGACAUUAAAGCCCAGUGCUCUUAAUAUAAGGCUGUUAACUUAUUUGCUGGAUGUUUAAGAUCAAGUUUUUAAAAUUAGUUAAAUUAAAAGGGCCAAAAAAAACCAAUAUUUGGCUAUUGCCCUCUGAGUCAGUCUGAAUCAGGGAAUAGGGGACUUCUCCAAAGGGCUCAGCAACUCUAGGCCACAUAACCUCCUGAGCAGGGAGAUUAAUGAGACCAGUGGAGGACAGAAAGCCAAUCAGUGCAUUUGCUGUAAAGAGGAGGGUCAUUAGAAAGGGGAGACAUCCCUGAUGCUUCCAAGGGAAACCACAUGGUCAAGCAAGGCCAGGACCCAUCCUAAGGUAAAUGGCACUAGCAGAACUGAGAAGCUGCUAUGAAGUUCCCCGAGGACUCCCAGGGAAACUCAGCUGACUGUUGACAAUAGAUAAGAACAAAAGUCAGUUUGACUUGCUUCAUCUUAAACACUUAGCAAAGAUAGUUAAAGCCAAAGCACAGCUGUUCCUAGACAUUUUAAAUUAAAUAAUAAUUAAAUGUAACUUCCAAAAAUAAGUAAACUGGAGGCUACAAAAGAGAUUCUCAGACAGGAAUGUCUGAUAACUAUUAAAAUGAACUACCAGAGUAGUUUUUAGUUUAAGGCCCACAGAUAUUCCUAACCUACACAGGUAGGCUUGGUGUUUGCUAGUAUGGUUAUCCAGCCCUAAAUAGCAAAUUAAAGGUUUCUCUAUUAGACAUAGGUCAUACUAGUAAAAAGGACACCUGUAAACCUAAAUGUUAGUUGUUGUGUUUACAUCCCUGACAUUUCUGGCAAGGUGACAAAUAUCCUUAAAGAUUUACAUGCUCAGAUAGAAGCCAUGUCCUCAGCAACUUUGUCAUGGAAACAAUAUCUUAGCUCCUGGUUCUUGGUACUUCCUGGUGGAAAACAUUGUUUGUCUUUGUCUUUGCCAUCAUACUCAUUGGCAUAUUCCUGUGCUAUGGCAUUUAUUGCUGCAUCAAUAUGGUUCCAGUACUAAUGAAUUCUUGCUUCUCUUAUAGACCACCUAUCACUCGAAUGGCCCUCCAGCCUAAUACUUCUCAAUUGAACUUUUAUCAUGGACCACUCGAUAGACCCGAUAUUUUUAAAGGGGGACUCCAAACUGCUUGCCCCACACCAUCCCUUUUCAGCCUGAAGAAGCCAGAAAGAUUCUCUUCGCCCCCCCUUCCUUACAGCAGUAAGGAGUUCCCAAAUUAGAGGGGGGAAUAAAGGCAGAUUUUAAGUUAGGUAGUCAGUGUAGUUAGAUAAAUCGGGGUCUAAUACCGAGUGGAAUCUAAAAUGGAGGCCAUGCUGAAAAUGAUUCCAGGGAACGCAAAACAACUCAUGAAAUGUGAAACCCUUCAAUAAUCGUGAUGCAUUACUUUUAAGAUUAAAAGUAGUCAGAAAAAAGGAGUGGGGAAUGUAAGGGUAAAAGAAAUUGAAGUUAAAGCGUAAAAGUUAAAGGGUAAAAGAUCGGGUGUUGUAAAAGUUUCUAAGCUGCAAGGUCUGAGUUAGCUGUUAAGACAAUGCUUAGAACCGCCCAGUAAACAUUUCCCCUGAUUGGUUGUUUAAUAACUGAAGGGCUCUGUGUGGUCGCACAUAGGCAUUGCAGGGUCUGGACCAAUCAGUUUAAAUGUAACCCCUCCUUAGGAAUGACCUAUCACUCCAGCCUGACCUGUUCCCAC
rnacentral:lncRNA from 1 species